GACGAACGCUGGCGGCGUGCUUAACACAUGCAAGUCGAACGGAAAGGCCCUGCUUUUGUGGGGUGCUCGAGUGGCGAACGGGUGAGUAACACGUGAGUAACCUGCCCUUGACUUUGGGAUAACUUCAGGAAACUGGGGCUAAUACCGGAUAGGAGCUCCUGCUGCAUGGUGGGGGUUGGAAAGUUUCGGCGGUUGGGGAUGGACUCGCGGCUUAUCAGCUUGUUGGUGGGGUAGUGGCGUACCAAGGCUUUGACGGGUAGCCGGCCUGAGAGGGUGACCGGCCACAUUGGGACUGAGAUACGGCCCAGACUCCUACGGGAGGCAGCAGUGCGGAAUAUUGCCCAAUGGGCGGAAGCCUGAUGCAGCAACGCCGCGUGCGGGAUGACGGCCUUCGGGUUGUAAACCGCUUUCGCCUGUGACGAAGCGUGAGUGACGGUAAUGGGUAGAGAAGCACCGGCUAACUACGUG
rnacentral:rRNA from 1 species